AACGAACGCUGGCGGCAUGCCUAACACAUGCAAGUCGAACGAGACCUUCGGGUCUAGUGGCGCACGGGUGCGUAACGCGUGGGAACCUGCCCUUAGGUUCGGAACAACUCCCCGAAAGGGGUGCUAAUACCGGAUAAUGUCUCCGGACCAAAGAUGUAUCGCCUUUGGAUGGGCCCGCGUUGGAUUAGCUAGUUGGUAGGGUAAAAGCCUACCAAGGCGACGAUCCAUAGCUGGUCUGGGAGGAUGAUCAGCCACACUGGGACUGAGACACAGCCCAGACUCCUACGGGAGGCAGCAGUGGGGAAUAUUGGACGAUGGGCGAAAGCCUGAUCCAGCAAUGCCGCGUAAGUGAUGAAGGCCUUAGGGUUGUAAAGCUCUUUUACCCGGGAUGAUAAUGACAGUACCGGGAGAAUAAGCUCCGGCUAACUCCGUG
rnacentral:rRNA from 1 species